GACGAACGCUGGCGGCGUGCUUAACACAUGCAAGUCGAACGGAAAGGCCCUGCUUGCAGGGUGCUCGAGUGGCGAACGGGUGAGUAACACGUGGGUGAUCUGCCCCUUACUUUGGGAUAAGCCUGGGAAACUGGGUCUAAUACUGGAUAGGACCAUGCUGUAGGUGGUGUGGUGGAAAGAUUAGUUUCGGUAAGGGAUGAGCUCGCGGCCUAUCGGCUUGUUGGUGGGGUAAUGGCCUACCAAGGCGUCGACGGGUAGCCGGCCUGAGAGGGUGGACGGCAACAUUGGGACUGAGAUACGGCCCAGACGCCUACGGGAGGCAGCAGUGGGGAAUAGUGCACAAUAGGCGCAAGCCUGAUGCAGCGACGCCGCGUGGGGGAUGACGGCCUUCGGGUUGUAAACUCCUUUCAGCCAUGACGAAGCCCUUGUGGUGACGGUAGUGGUAGAAGAAGCACCGGCUAACUACGUG
rnacentral:rRNA from 1 species